rnacentral:rRNA from 1 species
UACGGGGGGGGCGAGCGUUGUCCGGAAUCAUUGGGCGUAAAGGGCGCGUAGGCGGAAUAGUAAGUUGGAGGUGAAAAUUCUGAGCUUAACUCAGGACCUGCCUUUGAUACUGCUAUUCUUGAGUGCGGUAGAGGAAAGUGGAAUUCCCGGUGUAGCGGUGAAAUGCGUAGAUAUCGGGAAGAACACCGGUAGCGAAGGCGGCUUUCUGGGCCGUAACUGACGCUGAGGCGCGAAAGCGUGGGGAGCAAACAGG